GUACACGUAGUUUAAUAAAAACAUCAGCCUGUGAAGCUGAACUUAGAGCAAUCUCGCGCACC
rnacentral:tRNA from 1 species